rnacentral:rRNA from 2 species
AACGACUCUCGGCAACGGAUAUCUCGGCUCUCGCAUCGAUGAAGAACGYAGCGAAAUGCGAUACCUGGUGUGAAUUGCAGAAUCCCGCGAACCAUCGAGUCUUUGAACGCAAGUUGCGCCCGAGGCCAUCCGGUCGAGGGCACGCCUGCCUGGGCGUCACGCCAU